ensembl:lncRNA
AUGCAUGGAGGAUCACCACCCCCAUGGUCCAUCAAAGACUCUGAUACAACACCACAGAGUCAUGGUGGGGAGUCUGGCUCACCAAGCUCCACAAUCACGUCUUCCAGUUGUACAGAGGUAUGUGGCCCAGGCUUCCGAGGAAAGUCAUGCUCAAAGAUUUGCUUAGUCAAUGUGUAUCCUAGGGCAUUCCCAAAAAGAAAAAGAAGGAUGUAUGCAAUGUUAGACGACCAAAGCAAUGUGUCACUGGCUAGGUCUGCCUUUUUUGAUAUUUUUGGUGUACAAGGUAGCGCACUCCCAUACACUAUAAAGACGUGCACUGGCUUAUCUGACAUGAAAGGGCGCAGAGCCAACGACUUUAUCAUUGAGCACAUCAAUGAAAGGGUGUCCAUGCCGCUGCCAACACUCACCGAAUGCGACCAGAUCCCAGACAACAGAAAUGAGAUACCUACUCCAGAGGCAGCUGCCGCUCACCCCCAUCUGCGACCAAUAGCAACACAGAUACCAUCACUAGAUCCAUCGGCGGAUAUUCUUAUCCUCCUGGGGAGAGACAUCAUUCGAGCUCACAAGGUCCGCAGUCAGGUAAAUGGCCCCCACGAUGCACCUUAUGCUCAGUGCCUGGAUUUACGGUGGGUAAUCAUAGGAGAUGUUUGCCUCUCAAGGGCCCAUAAACCCACUGUGAACUCUUUUAAGACGAAUGUUCUCAGUAAUGGCCGACACAGCUUUCUCUCUCCCUGUGAAAAUGUGGUCCACAUUAAAGAGAAUUACACAGAGAAAGGCUCCCCCUCUAAAGAUACACAGUUUGAGCUAGGUAGACGUCUUUUCCAGCAAACUACAGACGAUGAAAAGUUCGCACUCUCGUCAGAAGACGCGCUAUUCUUGAACAUCAUGGACAAGGAGUUUGCCAAAGAUGAGGCAAAUAACUGGGUGGCUCCACUCCCGUUUCGUUUCCCAAGACAGCUUCUACCCAACAACAAGGAACAAGCUCACAAUCGUUUGAUGUCACUCCGGAAAACACUGACAAAGAAAACUGUGAUGAAAGAGCAUUAUGUGGAAUUCAUGGAGAAAAUCUUCAGGAAGGGUCACGCAGAAUCUGCCCCUCCUCUUGCACCAGAUCAAGAAUGCUGGUAUCUCCCGAGCUUUGGCAUCUACCACCCUCAAAAGCCAGGCAAAAUCAGAAUAGUGUUUGAUUCAAGUGCGCAGUGCAACAAUGUGUCUCUCAAUGAUGUACUGCUUAAAGGGCCAGACCUCAACAACAGUCUCGUGGGUGUACUUAUCCGUUUCCGGUCCGACCCAUAUGCAGUGAUGGCAGAUGUGGAACAGAUGUUUCACAAUUUUCUAGUCAGAGAAGAUCACCGCAACUACCUUCGCUUCUUGUGGUUUAAAGAUCACAAUCUGGAUGGAGAAGUGCAGGAGUUCAGAAUGACGGUCCACGUAUUUGGAAACUGCCCAUCACCAUCUGUUGCCAUCUAUGGGCUGAAGAGAACAGCUGUAGAGGGAGAAACUGAAUAUGGGAGUGAUGUGAGGCAAUUCAUUGAAUGUCACUUUUAUGUAGAUGACGGACUGAAGUCAUUCUGUUCCCCAGAUGAAGCUAUUGAUGUGCUGUGCAGAACUCAGAAAAUGCUAGCACAGUCUAACAUACGUCUGCACAAAAUAACAUCUAACAGUUCAGCCAUCACCAGUGCCUUCCCAAAUGAAGACCUCGCAACUAGCAUGCAGGACCUUGAACUAGGACAGACCUCACCACACAUGCAGCGCACCUUAGGCUUGGGCUGGGACUUGUCUGCAGACCUGUUCAAAUUCCAGGUAACAAGCAGUGAAAAGCCUUUCACCAAACGUGGUGUACUGUCAGUCAUUAACAGUUUGUAUGACCCCCUUGGCUUUGCUGCGCCUGUCAUUAUUGAAGGCAGAGCCAUAUUGAGAGACAUUGCAUCAGAUGUGUGCGACUGGGACACUGAAAUGCCAAAAGAAAAACAAGAACAGUGGCAAAGGUGGAAAGACUCUUUAAAACACUUGCAACAGCUUGAAAUCCCCAGAAUGUACACCUCAAUUCCACUGUCUGUUGCACAGAGAAGAGAGGUCAAUGUUUUCUGUGAUGCCUCCACUAAGGCAGUGGGUGCUGUUGCCUAG